AGAGUUUUGGCCUCAGCCGUUUGACUCUAAUCAGGAAAUCAUUUUUAGAAAGAUUUGUCAGUGUAAGAAAACAAGCUCCUGAACUAAAUUAGGAUCUGGAUUAUUUUUCCCUCCUCUCUCGAUCUGCAGUGCAAGGCAGAGUGGUGAGCCAUCACGGUUUUGUGUGUGGUGAAUUUGUUUCCACUGCACAUUUUAAUUCGGAGCUCCUGAAGGUGUCUGUGUUUGUAAGGACUGUGUUUUUGGAGCUGCUCCCUCGGAGUAAUGAAUUCACGGCAUGUCUCUGGGAAAUUAAGGAUUCAGCCAUGUCUUCCUAGGAUCCAGCAUCCAAACCUGGACCAAAGUCCUCGGAUCCUCAGCAAUGGGGGUGCAUCUGGUGAUGGUGUUCAUGCUAAAUUUGUGCCAAGAGACACCUGUACUUGUGGGAGAAUUAAUAUUUCACUUCUGUUUAGGUUUCUUUUCUGGGAGCUGCUAUCACUGAAUACAUAAAGAAAUUGAGCCUAUAUGAUUUCAAUCUUCACCUUCUGAUGCUGAUGAAACAGGAUUCUAUGCAGAGAAAAUCCUCUCCAGUCAAGUAAUUGCAUCCAUUUCAUCUUCCCAGCCCUCCUCUAGAUGGGAGGUGGAGGUGUGUGUACCAAUCUCUUAAUUCAGAAAUGAGACAAGAGGAGGAAAAAGGAGUUCCGGAGACUUUGAGUAAAGCUGAUCACCUUACGUAAUGUGAGUGGGUCUCGUCCAAUCAACUGAAGGCUUUAAGAGCAAAGACAAAGGUUUUUCAAAGAGAAAAAGAAGACUCUCCUCAAGACUGUGACAUAGAAACUCUGCCUGAAUUUCUAGCCUGCUGCCCUGCAGAAUUUAGAGUCAAGCCUACAACAUAACUCUUACCUGAAUUCUCAGGCUGCUGACUUACCCUGCAGAUUUUGGACUUGCCAGCCCCUCACAAUCCCAUGAGCCAAUUCCUUAAAAUAAAUCUCUCUUUUUCCCUCUGUAUAUAUUUAUGUCCUAUUGAUUUUGGUUCUCUGGAGAGCCCUGACUACUACACUGAGUGAAGGGAGGGCUUUGCUAAGUGAUCAUGGUCCCAAGGGCAGCCUCUGAGAGCCCGCUCCUUUUGCAGGAUAUUUGAAGACCAGACCUUGAGUCAAAUUCUGCAGCCAAAUUCAAUGCCCAUAAGACUUUCUGCUCAGAAGACGUCAUGCAAAGGGAAUCCCCAGGGCUCUUUAAAUUAGAUCUUCUGUUUGUGCAGACACGUGAUAAAUGUUUUGGGUACAGCCUGGCUCACACCACAUUUUCCACUUUUUGGGUGGAGUCAGUUUUAAUUGACAAGAAGUGCCUUUACAGGUGGACUUUUUUUUUGGUGGUGGAGGGGAGUAGUUAAAACCGAUGCUUUGCAUUCUGUUGGGCAGCAGAAAGAUUGCUUUUUCAAUAAGCAAGCCUUGGGUUUUUCUGAGCCAGUGGUAUGAGAAAUGCCUCUCCUGAAGGCCACCACGCAAGCGAGUCCCCACAGAAGCAUGCCCGAGCUGUCAGGUGCAGGGAGAAAUAUCUUUAGUAAGAGCCGGUCAUGUAAUGAGACUUCCCCACCACAGCAUAGAUGGGCAGAGGGGUUUCCACAAGGACAAUUCUUAAGAAUCUCUGUAAAAACGCAUGACUCCAUCUGUCUCCUCUCUCUUCUUUGGCUUCAGAUGAGCUGAGCCAUUUAAAAAUUCCCCAACAAGGGACCCCAGGCACCAGAAGAAGUGAUGAACAGAUUUUCAAUUUGGCCCUGAUUUGCAUAAAUUUUUUUUUUCUGGCAG
rnacentral:lncRNA from 10 species